AAGCUCGUAGUUGAAUUUCGGGAUCAAUUUGUUGGUCGUGCCUCGGUACGUACUGGCAUUAUUGGUUUCUACCUUCUGAAGAACCUUGAUGUCAUUAAUUUGGUGUCUUGGGGAAUCAGGACUGUUACUUUGAAAAAAUUAGAGUGUUUAAAGCAGGCAUACGCUUGAAUACAUUAGCAUGGAAUAAUGAAAUAGGACGUUUGAUUCUAUUUUGUUGGUUUCUAGGAUCGACGUAAUGAUUAAUAGGGAUAGUUGGG
rnacentral:rRNA from 1 species